AGAACGAACGCUGGCGGCAGGCCUCAAACAUGCAAGUCUAGGGGGUGUAGCAAUACAUCACCGGCGGACGGGUGCGUAACACGUGGGAAUAUACCUUUUGGUUCGGAACAACGCAGGGAAACUUGCGCUAAUACCGAAUGUGCCCUUACGGGGAAAGAUUUAUCGCCAAAGGAUUAGCCCGCGUAGGAUUAGCUAGUUGGUGAGGUAAUGGCUCACCAAGGCUCCGAUCCUUAGCUGUUCUGAGAGGAAGAUCAGCCACACUGGGACUGAGACACGGCCCAGACUCCUACGGGAGGCAGCAGUUGGGAAUCUUGGACAAUGGGGGAAACCCUGAUCCAGCCAUGCCGCGUGAGUGAUGAAGGCCUUCGGGUUGUAAAACUCUUUCGACGGGGACAUAAUGACGGUACCCGUAGAAGAAGCUCCGGCUAACUUCGUGCCAGCAGCCGC
rnacentral:rRNA from 1 species